rnacentral:tRNA from 1 species
GGGAGCGUGGCCGAGGGGUCUAAGGCGCUGGAUUUAGGCUCCAGUCUCUUCGGGGGCUUGGGUUCGAAACCCAUCGCUGCCA